AUUGAACGCUGGCGGCAGGCCUAACACAUGCAAGUCGAACGGUAGCACAGAGAGCUUGCUCUCGGGUGACGAGUGGCGGACGGGUGAGUAACGUCUGGGAAACUGCCCGAUGGAGGGGGAUAACUACUGGAAACGGUAGCUAAUACCGCAUAACGUCACAAGACCAAAGUGGGGGACCUUCGGGCCUCACACCAUCGGAUGUGCCCAGAUGGGAUUAGCUAGUAGGUGGGGUAAUGGCUCACUUAGGCGACGAUCCCUAGCUGGUCUGAGAGGAUGACCAGCCACACUGGAACUGAGACACGGUCCAGACUCCUACGGGAGGCAGCAGUGGGGAAUAUUGCACAAUGGGCGCAAGCCUGAUGCAGCCAUGCCGCGUGUAUGAAGAAGGCCUUCGGGUUGUAAAGUACUUUCAGCGGGGAGGAAGGCGGUGAAGUUACUAACUUCACCGAUUGACGUUACCCGCAGAAGAAGCACCGGUUAACUCCGUGCCAGCAGCCGCCGUAA
rnacentral:rRNA from 1 species